GAUUUGGCUGGCUGGUCUGCCUAACGGUAUGUACUGGUCUGGCCGAGUCUUUACCUCUUGGUGAGCCUUCAUGCUCUUCACUGGGUGUGUAGGGGAACCAGGACUUUUACCUUGAGAAAAUUAGAGUGUUCAAAGCAGGCUUAUGCCCGAAUACAUUAGCAUGGAAUAAUAAAAUAGGACGUGCGCUUCUAUUUUGUUGGUUUCUAGAGUCGCCGUA
rnacentral:rRNA from 1 species